rnacentral:rRNA from 1 species
ACUCCUACGGGAGGCAGCAGUGGGAAUUUUGGACAAUGGGCGCAAGCCUGAUCCAGCCAUUCCGCGUGAGUGAAGAAGGCCUUCGGGUUGUAAAGCUCUUUCGCAAGGGAAGAAAACUUACUUUCUAAUAAAGAGUGAGGCUGACGGUACCUUGAUAAGAAGCACCGGCUAACUACGUGCCAGCAGCCGCGGUAAUACGUAGGGUGCGAGCGUUAAUCGGAAUUACUGGCGUAAAGCGUGCGCAGGCGGUUUGGCAAGUCAGAUGUGAAAUCCCGACGC